AUUGAACGCUGGCGGCAGGCCUAACACAUGCAAGUCGAGCGAGAGGCGGACGGGUGAGUAAUGUAUGGGGACUGCCCGAUAGAGGGGGAGAACUACGGGAAACGGUAGCUAAUACCGCAUACUAUCGGAUAACCCAUAUGGGAUUAGCUAGUAGGUGAGGUAAUGGCUCAACUAGGCGACGCACCAUAGCUGGUCUGAGAGGAUGAUCAGCCACACGUGGACUGAGACACGGCCCAGACUCCUACGGAGGCAGCAGUGGGGAAUAUUGCACAAUGGGCGCAAGCCUGAUGCAGCCAUGCCGCGUGUAUGAAGAAGGCCCUAGGGGUGUAAAGUACUUUCAGUCGGGAGGCGUUACCGACAGAAGAAGCACCGGCUAACUCCGUGCCAGCCGCCGCGGUAAUUC
rnacentral:rRNA from 1 species